GGGAGACACACGGCGGGUGCUAACGUCCGUCGUGAAGAGGGAAACAACCCAGACCGCCAGCUAAGGUCCCAAAGUCAUGGUUAAGUGGGAAACGAUGUGGGAAGGCACAGACAGCCAGGAUGUUGGCUUAGAAGCAGCCAUCAUUUAAAGAAAGCGUAAUAGCUCACUGGUCGAGUCGGCCUGCGCGGAAGAUGUAACGGGGCUAAACCAUGCACCGAAGCUGCGGCAGCGACGCUUAUGCGUUGUUGGGUAGGGGAGCGUUCUGUAAGCCGUUGAAGGUGGCCUGUGAGGGUUGCUGGAGGUAUCAGAAGUGCGAAUGCUGACAUAAGUAACGAUAAAGCGGGUGAAAAACCCGCUCGCCGGAAGACCAAGGGUUCCUGUCCAACGUUAAUCGGGGCAGGGUGAGUCGACCCCUAAGGCGAGGCUGAAAAGCGUAGUCGAUGGGAAACAGGUUAAUAUUCCUGUACUUGGUGUUACUGCGAAGGGGGGACGGAGAAGGCUAGGCUAGCCGAGCGACGGUUGUCUCGGUUUAAGCGUGUAGGGGGGUGUUCCUGGUAAAUCCGGAACGCUGUUAACCCUGAGGCGUGAUGACGAUGCACUACGGUGCAGAAGUAGUUGAUGCCAAGCUUCCAGGAAAAGCCUCUAAGCUCCAGGUAACAUCAAAUCGUACCCCAAACCGACACAGGUGGUCAGGUAGAGAAUACCAAGGCGCUUGAGAGAACUCGGGUGAAGGAACUAGGCAAAAUGGUGCCGUAACUUCGGGAGAAGGCACGCUGGCGCGUAGGUGAAGUCCCUUGCGGAUGGAGCUGAAGCCAGUCGCAGAUACCAGCUGGCUGCAACUGUUUAAUAAAAACACAGCACUGUGCAAACACGAAAGUGGACGUAUACGGUGUGACGCCUGCCCGGUGCCGGAAGGUUAAUUGAUGGGGUUAUCCGUAAGGAGAAGCUCUUGAUCGAAGCCCCGGUAAACGGCGGCCGUAACUAUAACGGUCCUAAGGUAGCGAAAUUCCUUGUCGGGUAAGUUCCGACCUGCACGAAUGGCGUAAUGAUGGCCAGGCUGUCUCCACCCGAGACUCAGUGAAAUUGAACUCGCUGUGAAGAUGCAGUGUACCCGCGGCAAGACGGAAAGACCCCGUGAACCUUUACUAUAGCUUGACACUGAACAUUGAGCCUUGAUGUGUAGGAUAGGUGGGAGGCUUUGAAGUGUGGACGCCAGUCUGCAUGGAGCCAACCUUGAAAUACCACCCUUUAAUGUUUGAUGUUCUAACUCGGCCCCAUAAUCUGGGGUGAGGACAGUGUCUGGUGGGUAGUUUGACUGGGGCGGUCUCCUCCCAAAGAGUAACGGAGGAGCACGAAGGUUAGCUAAUCACGGUCGGACAUCGUGAGGUUAGUGCAAAGGCAUAAGCUAGCUUGACUGCGAGAGUGACGGCUCGAGCAGGUGCGAAAGCAGGUCUUAGUGAUCCGGUGGUUCUGAAUGGAAGGGCCAUCGCUCAACGGAUAAAAGGUACUCCGGGGAUAACAGGCUGAUACCGCCCAAGAGUUCAUAUCGACGGCGGUGUUUGGCACCUCGAUGUCGGCUCAUCACAUCCUGGGGCUGAAGUAGGUCCCAAGGGUAUGGCUGUUCGCCAUUUAAAGUGGUACGCGAGCUGGGUUUAGAACGUCGUGAGACAGUUCGGUCCCUAUCUGCCGUGGGCGUUGGAAGAUUGAGAGGGGUUGCUCCUAGUACGAGAGGACCGGAGUGAACGCACCACUGGUGUUCGGGUUGUCAUGCCAAUGGCACUGCCCGGUAGCUAAGUGCGGAAAAGAUAAGCGCUGAAAGCAUCUAAGCGCGAAACUUGCCUCAAGAUGAGUCUUCCCUGGGCCUUUAAGGCCCCUGAAGGAACGUUUAAGACUAAGACGUUGAUAGGCUGGGUGUGUAAGUGCAGCGAUGCAUUGAGCUAACCAGUACUAAUGAACCGUGAGGCUUAACCUUACAACACCGAAGGUGUUUUAG
rnacentral:rRNA from 1 species